rnacentral:tRNA from 3 species
GGGUCGUUAGCUCAGUUGGUAGAGCAGUUGACUUUUAAUCAAUUGGUCGCAGGUUCGAAUCCUGCACGACCCACGA